GCGGCGCGAAAAAUAAAGCACAACAAAGUGAAGAAGAAGGUGAUCAGCGCAGGAGGGAGAGAGAAGAGAGCCCUUUCACUUUCCCUUUUGGCAUCACCUACGUGAAAGGAAUCAAACCCCGCCAUGGCAAUCAAACUCUCUCCCUCUCUUCUCUAUGUCUCACCGUGCAGUGUCUGGCCACCCAGAAAAGAUGAUGAAGAGAAGGAUCAGAUGGAAGCGCAGCAAACUUUUCUCAGGUAA
rnacentral:lncRNA from 1 species